GACGAACGCUGGCGGCGUGCUUAACACAUGCAAGUCGAACGGUAAGGCCCUUCGGGGUACACGAGUGGCGAACGGGUGAGUAACACGUGGGUGAUCUGCCCUGCACUUCGGGAUAAGCCUGGGAAACUGGGUCUAAUACCGGAUAGGACCACUGCCUGCAUGGGUGGUGGUGGAAAGCUUUUGCGGUGUGGGAUGGGCCCGCGGCCUAUCAGCUUGUUGGUGGGGUGAUGGCCUACCAAGGCGACGACGGGUAGCCGGCCUGAGAGGGUGACCGGCCACACUGGGACUGAGAUACGGCCCAGACUCCUACGGGAGGCAGCAGUGGGGAAUAUUGCACAAUGGGCGCAAGCCUGAUGCAGCGACGCCGCGUGUGGGAUGACGGCCUUCGGGUUGUAAACCUCUUUCAGCACCGACGAAGCGCAAGUGACGGUAGGUGCAGAAGGAGGACCGGCCAACUACGUGCCAGCCGCCGCGGUAA
rnacentral:rRNA from 1 species